AUGGCCUCGGCUGGUAACGGCGAGCCCCAGGACCGCGGCGGCGGCUGUAUCGGGGCCCUGGGCCGGCAGGCGGGCGGCGGGAGGCGAAGACGGACCGGGGGACCGCGCCGCGCCGCGCCAGACCCGGACUAUCUGCACCGGCCCAGCUACUGCGACGCCGCCUUCGCUCUGGAACAGAUUUCCAAGGGGAAGGCUACUGGCCGGAAAGCGCCGCUGUGGCUGCGAGCGAAGUUUCAGAGACUCUUAUUUAAACUGGGUUGUUACAUUCAAAAAAACUGCGGCAAGUUCUUGGUUGUGGGCCUGCUCAUUUUUGGGGCCUUCGCUGUGGGAUUAAAGGCAGCUAAUCUGGAGACCAACGUGGAGGAGCUGUGGGUGGAAGUUGGUGGACGAGUGAGUCGUGAAUUAAAUUAUACCCGCCAGAAGAUAGGAGAAGAAGCUAUGUUUAAUCCUCAGCUCAUGAUACAGACCCCAAAAGAAGAAGGUGCUAAUGUCCUAACCACAGAAGCGCUCUUGCAACACCUGGACUCUGCGCUCCAGGCCAGUCGAGUGCAUGUCUACAUGUACAACAGGCAAUGGAAAUUGGAACACUUGUGCUACAAGUCAGGAGAACUUAUCACAGAAACAGGUUAUAUGGAUCAGAUAAUAGAAUAUCUUUACCCUUGCUUAGUCAUUACACCUUUGGACUGCUUCUGGGAAGGGGCAAAAUUACAGUCCGGGACAGCAUACCUCCUAGGUAAACCUCCUCUGCGGUGGACAAACUUUGACCCUUUGGAAUUCCUAGAGGAGUUAAAGAAAAUAAACUAUCAAGUGGACAGUUGGGAGGAAAUGCUCAAUAAAGCUGAAGUUGGCCAUGGGUACAUGGACCGUCCCUGCCUCAACCCAGCAGACCCAGAUUGCCCCGCCACAGCCCCCAACAAAAAUUCAACCAAACCUCUUGAUAUGGCCCUUGUUUUGAAUGGUGGAUGUCAGGGAUUAUCCAGGAAGUAUAUGCGCUGGCAGGAGGAGCUGAUUGUGGGUGGCACAGUCAAGAACAGCACUGGAAAACUGGUCAGUGCCCAUGCCCUGCAGACCAUGUUCCAAUUAAUGACUCCCAAGCAAAUGUAUGAGCACUUCAAGGGCUAUGAUUAUGUCUCCCACAUUAACUGGAAUGAGGACAAAGCAGCAGCUAUCCUAGAGGCGUGGCAGAGAACGUAUGUGGAGGUGGUUCAUCAGAGUGUUGCCCCGAACUCCACUCAAAAGGUACUUUCCUUCACCACCACGACCCUGGACGACAUCCUAAAAUCAUUCUCUGAUGUCAGCGUCAUCCGAGUGGCCAGUGGCUACUUAUUGAUGCUUGCCUAUGCCUGUUUAACCAUGCUGCGCUGGGACUGCUCCAAGUCCCAGGGUGCCGUGGGGCUGGCUGGCGUCCUGUUGGUUGCACUGUCAGUGGCUGCAGGAUUGGGCCUGUGCUCAUUGAUCGGGAUUUCCUUUAACGCUGCGACAACUCAGGUUUUGCCGUUUCUUGCUCUGGGUGUUGGUGUGGAUGAUGUUUUCCUUCUGGCACACGCAUUCAGUGAAACAGGACAGAAUAAAAGGAUCCCUUUUGAGGACAGGACAGGGGAGUGCCUCAAGCGCACAGGAGCCAGCGUGGCCCUCACCUCUAUCAGCAAUGUGACUGCCUUCUUCAUGGCCGCAUUAAUCCCUAUUCCUGCUCUGCGAGCAUUCUCCCUCCAGGCUGCAGUAGUAGUGGUGUUCAACUUUGCCAUGGUGUUGCUCAUUUUUCCUGCAAUUCUCAGCAUGGACUUAUAUCGACGUGAGGACAGGAGAUUGGAUAUUUUCUGCUGUUUUACAAGCCCCUGUGUCAACAGAGUGAUUCAGGUUGAACCACAGGCCUACACAGAACCUCACAGCAACACCCGCUACAGCCCCCCACCCCCCUACAGCAGUCACAGCUUUGCCCAUGAAACACACAUCACCAUGCAGUCCACUGUUCAGCUCCGCACAGAGUACGACCCUCACACACAUGUGUACUACACUACCGCCGAGCCGCACUCCGAGAUCUCCGUGCAGCCUGUCACUGUCACCCAGGACAUCCUCAGCUGCCAGAGCCCCGAGAGUGCCAGCUCCACCAGAGAUCUGCUCUCCCAGUUCUCAGACUCCAGCCUCCACUGCUUGGAGCCCCCCUGCACCAAGUGGACACUCUCGUCAUUUGCAGAGAAACACUAUGCUCCUUUCCUCUUGAAACCCAAAGCCAAGGUUGUGGUGAUCCUCCUUUUCCUGGGCUUGCUGGGGGUCAGCCUUUAUGGGACCACCCGAGUGAGAGACGGGCUGGACCUUACAGACAUUGUCCCUCGGGAAACCAGAGAGUAUGACUUUAUUGCUGCGCAGUUCAAAUACUUUUCUUUCUACAAUAUGUAUAUAGUCACUCAGAAAGCAGACUACCCAAAUAUCCAGCAUUUACUUUAUGACCUUCACAAGAGUUUCAGCAAUGUGAAGUAUGUCAUGCUGGAAGAAAACAAUCAGCUGCCCAAGAUGUGGCUGCACUACUUCAGAGACUGGCUCCAAGGACUUCAGGAUGCGUUUGACAGUGACUGGGAAACUGGGAAGAUCAUGCCAAACAAUUACAAAAAUGGAUCUGACGAUGGGGUCCUCGCCUACAAACUCCUGGUGCAGACCGGCAGCCGGGACAAGCCUAUUGACAUCAGUCAGUUGACUAAACAGCGUCUGGUGGAUGCAGAUGGCAUCAUUAAUCCCAGCGCUUUCUACAUCUACCUGACGGCUUGGGUCAGCAAUGACCCCGUGGCUUACGCCGCCUCCCAAGUCAACAUUCGGCCUCAUCGACCAGAGUGGGUCCACGACAAAGCUGACUACAUGCCAGAAACCAGGCUGAGAAUCCCAGCAGCAGAGCCCAUUGAAUAUGCUCAGUUCCCUUUCUACCUCAACGGCCUACGAGACACCUCAGACUUCGUAGAAGCCAUUGAAAAAGUAAGAACCAUCUGCAACAACUACACGCGCCUGGGGCUGUCCAGCUACCCCAACGGCUACCCCUUCCUCUUCUGGGAGCAGUAUAUCAGCCUGCGCCACUGGCUGCUACUGGCCAUCAGUGUGGUGCUGGCCUGCACGUUUCUCGUGUGUGCAGUCUUCCUGCUGAACCCCUGGACGGCCGGGAUCAUUGUGAUGGUCCUGGCUUUGAUGACAGUUGAGCUCUUUGGCAUGAUGGGCCUCAUUGGAAUCAAGCUGAGUGCUGUACCUGUGGUCAUCCUGAUUGCGUCUGUUGGCAUCGGAGUAGAAUUCACCGUCCACGUGGCUUUGGCCUUUCUGACAGCAAUUGGUGACAAGAACCGCAGGGCCGUGCUUGCCUUGGAACACAUGUUUGCACCUGUUCUGGAUGGUGCUGUGUCCACUCUGCUGGGAGUACUGAUGCUGGCGGGGUCUGAAUUUGAUUUCAUUGUCAGGUACUUCUUUGCUGUUCUGGCGAUCCUCACCAUCCUGGGAGUUCUCAAUGGACUGGUGCUGCUUCCUGUUCUCUUAUCAUUCUUUGGACCAUGUCCUGAGGUGUCUCCAGCCAAUGGCCUGAGCCGGCUGCCCACCCCUUCACCUGAGCCACCCCCAAGUGUUGUCCGGUUUGCAGUGCCUCCUGGUCACAUGAACAAUGGGUCUGAUUCCUCUGACUCAGAGUACAGUUCUCAGACAACAGUGUCCGGCAUCAGUGAGGAGCUUAGGCACUAUGAGGCACAGCAGGGCACUGGAGGCCCUGCCCACCAAGUGAUCGUGGAAGCCACAGAAAACCCUGUCUUCGCCCGGUCCACUGUGGUCCAUCCUGAAUCGAGGCAUCACCCUCCCUCUAACCCUCGACAGCAGCCUCACCUGGACUCGGGCUUCCUGCCCUCUGGACGGCAAGACCAGCAGUCUUGCAGGGACCCCCCCAGAGAAGGCUUGCGGCCACCACCCUACAGACCGCGCAGAGACGCUUUUGAAAUUUCUACUGAAGGGCAUUCUGGCCCUAGCAAUAGGGACUGCUCGGGCCCCCGUGGGGCUCGUUCUCAUAACCCUCGGAACCUAGCGUCCACUGCCAUAGGCAGCUCCAUGCCCAGCUACUGCCAGCCCAUCACCACUGUGACGGCUUCUGCUUCUGUGACUGUUGCUGUGCAUCCCCCACCUGGGCCUGGGCGGAACCCCCGGGGGGGACCCUGCCCAGGCUAUCAGAGCUAUCCUGAAACUGACCACGGGCUGUUUGAGGACCCCCAUGUGCCUUUUCACGUCCGGUGCGAAAGGAGGGACUCAAAGGUGGAAGUUAUAGAGCUGCAGGAUGUGGAAUGUGAGGAGAGGCCGUGGGGAAGCAGCUCCAACUAAGGGUGAUUAAAAUCUGAAGCAAAGAGGCCAAAGAUUGGAAAAGCCCACCCCACCUCUUUCCAGAACUGCUUGAAGAGAACUGCUUGGAAUUAUGGGCGAGCAGUUCAAUGUUACUGUAACCAUUUGUAUUAUUUUGUUAAAUAUUUCUAUAAAUAUUUAAGAGGUGUACACAUAUGUAAUAUAUGAGGGAAUGUUGUAAAGUCUUGUAGCCUGGGACCUCUCCAUUCCUGCCCCAGAGUGGGGAGGCCACAGGGGGCCUAUCACUAUUUGUACAUUGGUCUCUGUGCUACAACCAAGCUUAACUUAGUUUUAAAUUUCCAGCAUAUGUUGCUGCUGCUUAAAUAUUGUAUAAUUUACUUGUAUAAUUCUAUGCAAAUAUUGCUUAUGUAAUAGGAUUAUUUUGUAAAGGUUUCUGUUUAAAAUAUUUUAAAUUUGCAUAUCACAACCCUGUGGUAGUAUGAAAUGAUACUGUUAACUUUCAAACACGCUAUGCGUGAUAAUUGUUUAAUGAGCAGAUAUGAAGAAAGCACGUUAAUCCCAGUGGCUUCUCUAGGGGUAGUUUUGUGCAGCUCUCAUGGGUAUGUGUGUAUGUGUGUGUGUGGACAUGUGUGAUUUCCCUAUGUACUGUACUGUGAUUUGGUGUUUGUAUCUUGUUUGUUUCUCUUUGCUGUGUGUAACCCCCAGCAGGCUCUGAUCUAGUCAAGCUGGGAAAGUCAAGGUAUCUUGAUGGUUUAGUGCUGGUAGAGCAAUAGCCCUCAUCAUCUGUCUGAUAGUCCAGGAGAGGCAAGACCAGCUUUGUGCCCUAGGUAUCUCCUGAGAUCAUUCCUGGCCCUCCAGACACCUCAUCCUGUGCUUCAAAUUGAAUAAUUCUCAUAGACCAUGAUAUGAUGUUGGGUGUUGGAACCUCAGUACAUGGAACCAAUAGUCUUUAUUUGGUGAUAAUUAGGUAGCAUGCCUGGUGGUGAGUCCCAGCAGGGCCAUGAGAUUCUCAUCUAGAAAAGUGUGAUAGUGUGCCCUUCUGCAUACAUGCACAUAUAAUCCCUACCCCAUGGCCAAAUACGGGCAGAAAAAUCUAUUUAGUUCAUUCAAAGUAAAUAGUAUGCCAAGAGAUGACACUCCAUUCCCUACAAUCUGAAUGCCCUCUCUUCCUGAGUUUCCUGGCCGCUUGGGGCUCUCUGAUGGUAAUGCAAUCAUUCGUGUAGAAUAUGAGCUUCCAAGGGUUCUCCGUGUGUUCAUUUACUCUACACUUCUUCCCUUCUCCACUGUUAGUGUCCUUUCAGUGUGAUAUCCACUGAGGAGCAGGAAGAUGUUGCCUGACAGAAGCACAUGUAUGGAGGUGGAUCUCUGAGCCAGGCUCUAGUUUUUAGAGCUUGAUUCUAUUCUCUUGCCCCCAAGGUUUGGGCUUCUUCACCUCUUUGGCCAGAGACCAGUAGAUGAGGAGGCAGUAUACAGUACCCCUUCCAAAUAAGCACCCAGAAAUUGUCCAAGAGGAAAGGGCCUGGUGUCUAUGGCUGCAGCCCUCAAAGUUACUGUGAGGAGCACUCCAGUGACAGCUCCCAUGAUUCCCUCCUGUCUGUCCUACAUGGAUAAUCUUAAGAGAAGGCAAUGGGCUUCUAAUAGUGCCAGCAGUCCAGUGACCUCAGACCCUAAAACUCACCCCCAAACUGUAGAGUACUAAUUGGAAGCCAUUUGUGGCUGCUAGGUGUGUGUGUGUGUGUGUGUGUGUGUGUGUGUGUGUGUGUGUGUGUGUUUAUGCUCACACGCAUGUGCCAGGGGCCCUGGCCACCUAUUGCUACUGUCUUGAUGCCUAUCAGCCACUGUCUGCCUUUCCAAGUUCUGCUGAGAGAACUUGCAUCCUGAGUUGAGGGAGGUACAAAAUUCUGAGGCCACCUCCCUGUGGCUCUCGGUUGUGCCCUCACUCCUGAGUCCGUAGCUCAUGGGCAAGAGGAAGCGUGUACAGCCCCUUUCUUGAUUUCUAUACAGUGUAGAUAUUUCUCCAUGAGUCACAUUGGCCAAGGCUGGACACAGAGCUGGCAGGCAUCUACAGUCUGAAUCAGUGUCUCCCCUGUCCUCUCUCUUCUCACUCGUCUCUCUUGCUGUCUCUCUUGCUCGCUCGUAUUUUUAUUUUGUCUGUAUUGUUUGUUCAUUUGAGUGUUUUAAUUUUUUUAAAAACGAUCUUUGCUGAUAUUUAUAAUUUUGUAUCAUAAGAAUGUGUUCCUCCAGUAUUUGUCAUGCCAGUUUAUAACAAGAAAUGCAGGGAUUUUAUUUCUGUUGGAAACACUAUUACAGUUAUGUUUUACUUUUGAACAGAAUUUUUAUUUGUAUAGAGUGCUUACUAAUGUUAAAUAGUUCAGAGUAUAUAACAUUGACAUUAAGGACUCAUGGUAGGUUUUAGUGUAAGAAGUUUAAAGGAAAUAUUCAAACUGGGUCUCAUCUGCCAAUUUGGGUGGAAAUGAGCUUGUGUCAUUUCAAUUACAAAGAUAAAAGUAUGCCAUAUAAUUUAUUUAUAUGAAAAUUUAUUUUUGUAGUGUACAUAGUAGGCAUCAAGUCUUUUGACAGAAGUAUAUUUUUAAAGAAUUUAUAUGUGAUGAAUCCGUAAUGUCUGGAACUUUGCUGAGACACGAGUGAGGGCACUUCAUUGUAAAUUACAAGGAAGAAGAGAUGUUUAACAGUGUUAAGAGAGUGGAAGUGAGUGGCUCUCCAUGUGAUUGGGAAGUAUUGAUUAGUGAGCAUUGUGGCCUAGUGUGGUUCUCAUUCUAAACCUUGGAAGGUGAAAGAAAAUGUACAAACUCUCUAAAUAUUAAUGUUCAAACACUGAUAGAAAUUCUAACAUGAAUAAAAAUAAUAUAACUUGUUGGUUA